CUGGAGACAGACCACCCCCUGUUGCUGCCUUCACUUUAACAUCAAUUAAUAAUUCCAGUGCUAUAUUAUUUGGAGGUGACAUUGCUAUUGGAUGGAGUAACAAUGUAUAUAUUCUUAAUUUUACUGAUACAUCAGUGAAUUGUUUAAAGUUAUCUAAUCCUGGACGAUCAGUACAAUGGCCUAAGGAAAGAUGGGCUCAUUCCAGUGUAUUGAUUAACACUAGCUCAGGGCCACACCUACUAGUGGUGGGUGGGAUUCGUGCUUCUGAUCUUUGGAUAUUUGAUAUUAAAAAUAAAUCAUGGAAGGAACUGUUUAAUAUACCAAAGAAUGUCACUGAUAGAUAUGAUCAUUCUCUCUCAUUGUGGAGUGUGACUCCAACCACUAACUGGAUAAUUGUGUUUGGAGGAGAGUCGUCAUACAC